AUUAAAAAAUUAAACAUAUAGAUAAAAAAUUCUAAAACCAUACUCAUCUAUCAACAAAAACGCAUGUUAUCCUAAUUUCUAAAUCACAAUCCCAAAUCUAUAGUAUUUCUUUACAAAAAUGAUAACUUUCCCAAAAUAACUGGUUUUAGAAAAUUUAUUUAAAAAUUAAAACCUAUAGGUAAAUAAUUCUAAAAGCAUACCCAUUUAUCAACAAAAACGCUUGUUAUCCUAAUUUCUAAAUCACAAUUCCAAAUCUACAAUAUUUUUCUACAAAAAUGAUAACUUUCCAAAACUUGAAGUUCUUCGAAAUUUUAUUUAUAAAAUAUAACCUAUUGAUCAAAAAUUUAAAAAAGCAUACCCAUAUAUAAACAAAAAUUCUUGUUAUCAUAAUUUCUAAAUCACAAUCCCAAAUCUACAAUAUUUCUCUACAAAACGAUAACUUUCUAAAAAAUAGAAGGUUUUGGAAAAUUAAUUUAAAAAUUAUAACCUAUUGACAAAAAUUCUAAAACCAUACCC
rnacentral:lncRNA from 1 species